UCAUUUUCACGAUCAGUGAAGGGCGAC
rnacentral:sRNA from 1 species